AAGGUAUCUGUAGGUGAACCUGCAGAUGGAUCAU
rnacentral:rRNA from 1 species